ensembl:ribozyme RNaseP_nuc Nuclear RNase P
AGCGGAAGGAAGCUCACUGUAGAGGUCACAUGCUGAGUGCCUAGUCACUCUACCAAUCACCUCGGGGAAGGUCUGAGAAAAGAGCCAAUGGCUGCCCUAGCAGGGCAUCACCUGACAUGGGUGAGCGAGCGCACAGAAAACACGGGUUACGACGAGUUCCUUAGCAGGAGAAGCCGUACGGUACAAUGAAGGUACUGUUCGGUGGAUGCGGUCUCGCUAACUUGGAAACACUCGCGGCUGGCGAAUGAGUGCGAUGUGUGAGCUGGGGACACGCCUCCAGAACCCAAUUCAGACUACUCUCCUUCCACU